rnacentral:rRNA from 1 species
UACGGAGGGUGCAAGCGUUAAUCGGAAUUACUGGGCGUAAAGCGCGCGUAGGCGGCUGGGUAAGUCGAUUGUGAAAUCCCCGGGCUCAACCUGGGAAUUGCAGUCGAGACUGCCCGGCUAGAGUGUAGGAGAGGGUGGUGGAAUUCCCGGUGUAGCGGUGAAAUGCGUAGAUAUCGGGAGGAACAUCAGUGGCGAAGGCGACCGCCUGGCCUAACACUGACGCUGAGGUGCGAAAGCGUGGGUAG